ACUUCUGCCAGAGUUCACUCAUAAGAAAUAAUGCAUGAGACCCAGCACACAAUCAGAGGGAAAUGAUUAUAUGAUGUCCACCAUGAAUGGUACAAGUAAUAAGAAUAGGUGUCUGAUUUUAAAAAGAUCAUUUAUCAUUGGGGUGAGGUGAGAGGACAUCAUGGACUUGUAAUUUGAUCUAGGAUUUUAAGAAUGGCUCACAAAGAGGGGGAGGGAGACAUCCAUGCAGGAGACUUAUGAAAUACAGUGCAGAGAGCAAGAGCCAACCUCUAAUAACGUCUAAAUGGCCUGAUUUUAAUGUCAAAUAACUGGCUCCAGAUAAAUGCUUGUGAAGAAGAAUGAAUGGAGAUUAGGUCUCUAGGACCCAACCCAAGUAAAUAAAUGCAUGACAAUUAUUUGUUGAAUAAAUAAAUGCCAGAAAUCUUGGGCCUUUUUCUAUUUUCAACUUUAAAGGAUAUAUAGAUCAAGAAACUAACUUUUUAAAUGUUUAUUUCCACAGUCACCUGGCUGCCGGAAGCAAUCAGGGGUCUAAUGGAUUUCUGAGACCUACUGCCAUAGUGGGACGGGGGACAGAGCAGCCCCUUCAAGUAGAGAUGGGAAGUCCAAGAGCAGUCACAAAGAAACAGCCAGCCUCAGGUGCUCAGAAAAAUCUUCUGAAAUUCUCCCUUGGAAUCUCUCAUCAUAACAAACACUGCAAAAGGGACAUUUUGUGGAAAUCAUGUCAGGGACAAGAAAGUGGAGAGGUAAGAACUGUGGCCCAAUCCACAGAAGAUCACACUUCCUGUCUUAACUCUGAGUUCUUGCUAGCUU
rnacentral:lncRNA from 1 species